AACGAACGCUGGCGGCAGGCUUAACACAUGCAAGUCGAACGCCCCGCAAGGGGAGUGGCAGACGGGUGAGUAACGCGUGGGAACAUACCCUUUUCUACGGAAUAGCUCUGGGAAACUGGAAUUAAUACCGUAUACGCCCUACGGGGGAAAGAUUUAUCGGGGAAGGAUUGGCCCGCGUUGGAUUUGCUAGUUGGUGGGGUAAAGGCCUACCAAGGCGACGAUCCAUAGCUGGUCUGAGAGGAUGAUCAGCCACAUUGGGACUGAGACACGGCCCAAACUCGUACGGGAGGCAGCAGUGGGGAAUAUUGGACAAUGGGCGCAAGCCUGAUCCAGCCAUGCCGCGUGAGUGAUGAAGGCCUUAGGGUUGUAAAGCUCUUUCACCGAUGAAGAUAAUGACGGUAGUCGGAGAAGAAGCCCCGGCUAACUUCGUGCCAGCAGCCGCCGUAA
rnacentral:rRNA from 1 species